CUACGGGUUGCAGCAGUGAGGAAUUUUGCGCAAUGGGGGGAACCCUGACGCAGCAACGCCGCGUGAGUGAUGAAGGCUUUCGGGUCGUAAAGCUCUGUCAAGUGGGAAGAACCUAUGCAGUGUUAAUAUCACUGUAUACUGACGGUACCACUGAAGGAAGCACCGGCUAACUCCGUGCCAGCAGCCGCGGUAAUACGGGGGGUGCAAGCGUUAUUCGGAAUCAUUGGGCGUAAAGGGCACGUAGGCGGCUUGGUAAGUCAGAUGUGAAAGCCCGGGGCUUAACCCCGGAAGUGCAUUUGAUACUGUCAGGCUUGAGUAUGGGCGUGGGAAGUGGAAUUCCUGGUGUAGAGGUGAAAUUCGUAGAUAUCAGGAGGAACACCGGUGGCUAAGGCGACUUCCUGGACCAAUACUGACGCUGAGGUGCGAAGGCGUGGGUAGCAAACAGGAUUAGAUACCCCGGUAGUC
rnacentral:rRNA from 1 species